rnacentral:rRNA from 1 species
AUUGAACGCUGGCGGCAGGCCUAACACAUGCAAGUCGAGCGAGCGGCGGACGGGUGAGUAAUGUAUGGGGACUGCCCGAUAGAGGGGGAUAACUAAUGGAAACGGUAGCAAAUCCCGCAUACUAUCGGAUAACCCAUAUGGGAUUAGCUAGUAGGUUAGGUAAUGGCUAACAUAGGCGACGAUCCCUAGCUGGUCUGAGAGGAUGAUCAGCCACACGGGGACUGAGAAACGGCCCAGACUCCUACGGAGGCAGAAGUGGGGAAUAUGGCACAAUGGGCGCAAGCCGGAUGCAGCCAUGCCGAGUGUAUGAAGAAGGCCUUAGGGUUGUAAAGUACUUUCAGUCGGGAGGCGUUACCGACAGAAGAAGCACCGGCUAACUCCGUGCCAGCAGCCGCGGUAAUUC